rnacentral:rRNA from 1 species
GCAGAGGGGGCUUAGUGGUGGGGUGACUGCGUACCUUUUGUAUAAUGGGUCAGCGACUUAUAUUCUGUAGCAAGGUUAACCGAAUAGGGGAGCCGGAGGGAAACCGAGUCUUAAUUGGGCGUUAAGUUGCAGGGUAUAGACCCGAAACCCGGUGAUCUAGCCAUGGGCAGGUUGAAGGUUGGGUAACACUAACUGGAGGACCGAACCGACUAAUGUUGAAAAAUUAGCGGAUGACCUGUGGCUGGGGGUGAAAGGCCAAUCAAACCGGGAGAUAGCUGGUUCUCCCCGAAAGCUAUUUAGGUAGCGCCUCGUGAAUUCAUCUCCGGGGGUAGAGCACUGUUUCGGCUAGGGGGCCAUCCCGGCUUACCAACCCGAUGCAAACUGCGAAUACCGGAGAAUGUUAUCACGGGAGACACACGGCGGGUGCUAACGUCCGUCGUGAAGAGGGAAACAACCCAGACCGCCAGCUAAGGUCCCAAAGUCAUGGUUAAGUGGGAAACGAUGUGGGAAGGCCCAGACAGCCAGGAUGUUGGCUUAGAAGCAGCCAUCAUUUAAAGAAAGCGUAAUAGCUCACUGGUCGAGUCGGCCUGCGCGGAAGAUGUAACGGGGCUAAACCAUGCACCGAAGCUGCGGCAGCGAACGUAUCACCCAAGACAACUUUACGGAGUUGACGAUUGACGGAGCGAAGCGACGUCAAAGCGUUCAUUAAAGUCGAGUUGGCUUAGGGAUACGUUCGUUGGGUAGGGGAGCGUUCUGUAAGCCUGUGAAGGUGUGUCGUGAGGCAUGCUGGAGGUAUCAGAAGUGCGAAUGCUGACAUAAGUAACGAUAAAGC